rnacentral:ncRNA from 2 species
GCACAGACAAGGGGCGCUGGUUCCUGUCCUACGACAGGCUAAGAGGGAAUGCGACAGGCAACCGCCUGGAAGCAGCCGCCCCCGCGACCGUGACCGGAAAGGUCGCCCAUAAGCCACUGGCCAAAAGCCGGGAAGGCGGGACGACCGUGGGCUCCACAGGCCCGAAUCCGCAAGCCGGGAGACCUGCCCGCGCAAAGGAUUGACC